rnacentral:rRNA from 1 species
UACAGAGGGUGCAAGCGUUAAUCGGAAUUACUGGGCGUAAAGCGAGCGUAGGUGGCUUGAUAAGUCAGAUGUGAAAGCCCCGGGCUUAACCUGGGAACGGCAUCUGAUACUGUUAGGCUAGAGUAGGUGAGAGGAAGGUAGAAUUCCAGGUGUAGCGGUGAAAUGCGUAGAGAUCUGGAGGAAUACCGAUGGCGAAGGCAGCCUUCUGGCAUCAUACUGACACUGAGGUUCGAAAGCGUGGGUAGCAAACAGGAUUAGAUACCCUGGUAGUCCACGCCGUAAACGAUGUCUACUAGUCGUUGGGUCCCUUGAGGACUUAGUGACGCAGCUAACGCAAUAAGUAGACCGCCUGGGGAGUACGGCCGCAAGGUUAAA